rnacentral:lncRNA from 1 species
AUCUGGUUCUCCUCUCCAGGAUGAACUGCCCAGUGGAGAUGCUUCGAUGGCUGUCAACAAGCUAGAAACCACUUUGUGCAGAUUCCACCCAGGAAGAGACCUGUGCUGUCAUCGAGAACCGCUUGAAAUGGGUUCAGAACCGUUAUAGCAUUCGUGCAUCUAGGAUUCCAUUGUGCAGAAUCUUGCUUAAUCUCUGAGGUUAAUUCUCCUUCACUGGACUCCAGAGCUGAUUACAGAUUUAAGAACACAAGAUGGGUAACAGCCGUGACUUUGCCUACCCUAUCACCCGGAAAGAGAUUCUACACAACAUCCUGAUGCUGGCAACAUCUCUUUAACUUGUAAUGCUGGGCAACACAGGUGGCUCAGGAGUUUAGCACCGCCUUCAGCCUGGAGCAUGAUCCUGGAGACCCAGGAUCGAAUCCCACGUCGGGCUCCCUGCAUGGAACCUGCUUCUCCCUCUGCCUGUGUCUCUGCCUCUCUCUGUGUCUCUCAUGAAUAAAUAAAUAAAAUCUAAAAAAAAAAAAUUGUAAUGCUAAUA